rnacentral:rRNA from 1 species
CCUACGGGAGGCUGCAGUGAGGAAUAUUGGUCAAUGGGCGAGAGCCUGAACCAGCCAUGUCGCGUGAAGGAUGAAGGAUCUAUGGUUUGUAAACUUCUUUUAUAUGGGAAUAAAGUGAGGAACGUGUUCCUUUUUGUAUGUACCAUAUGAAUAAGCAUCGGCUAACUCCGUGCCAGCAGCCGCGGUAAUACGGAGGAUGCGAGCGUUAUCCGGAUUUAUUGGGUUUAAAGGGUGCGUAGGUGGUUAAUUAAGUCAGAGGUGAAAGUUUGUGGCUCAACCAUGAAAUUGCCGUUGAAACUGGUUGACUUGAGUAUAUUUGAGGUAGGCGGAAUGCGUGGUGUAGCGGUGAAAUGCAUAGAGAUCACGCAGAACUCCGAUUGCGAAGGCAGCUUACUAAACUAUAACUGACACUGAAGCACGAAAGCGUGGGGAGCAAACAGGAUUAGAUACCCGGGUAGUC